GGUCNNNNNNNNNNNNNNNNNNNNNNNNNNNNNNNNNNNNNNNNNNNNNNNNNNNNNNNNNNNNNNNNNNNNNNNNNNNNNNNNNNNNNNNNNNNNNNNNNNNNNNNNNNNNNNNNNNNNNNNNNNNNNNNNNNNNNNNNNNNNNNNNNNNNNNNNNNNNNNNNNNNNNNNNNNNNNNNAGGGACGCGCAGCCUAGAAAUAGUCGCGAGCCCGGAAGCCGGCCGGGCGGGGCUGGGAGGGGCGUGGUCAGGGCGGGGCGGGCCCCCUCAGGUGCGGGCGGUCGGACCCUUGCUAAGGGACUUUCCCAAAUUUGCACGGACGGUGGCUAAGACCGGAUCUGGUCUGGGAGGAGGCCGAAGUGAGCAAAGGCCGAGAGGGAGAGAUCUGCUGAGCGGAGUUCUCCCCUGCUCGCUUUUCCUCUGUUCCCAAGUCCAGGGGCCUCAUGAGUUCCCUCAGCCCGCGAAAAACUUCUCUCAAACCCUCACCUCUCUUCCUUUUUUCAAGUGUCAUUACUUUUCUUUUCUUUUUUCUUUUUUGGCUCGGUUUCCUGUUAAUGUGUGCUUUUCUGCCAACAGGAGAACUCAGUUGCAGCUCAGGUGUGUGGGUCAUCUCCACUGCCAUUCCCUUUACAGGAUUCGGUCACGCAAGAAGGAGGAAAGUCUCCGAGAUGACCUUGCUCAAACCCUGCUAUUUUACAGACGAAGAGCCGGAGCCUCAAAGGGGAAGUGGCCUGCACAGGAUGGCAGAAGGCGCAGAUAUUCCUCUUGCAUAAAGGACCAAAUAUUGAGUCCCAGCAAUGCUGAGGAUUUUAAAUCAACACACUAGUGUGGGCUACCUUGGAAGUUGUGGAAGUGGACCCUGGACUACUAAAUAAAUACUUGGCCUGUUUAAGCCAGCUUGUAAACACUUAGUAGGCAAUAUGAAGGCUAAACUAUAUGUCAGCAUUUUAGUUUCAAAGCUUUGUAGUUUGACUUCAUUUCCCUUUUCCUUAUAAGUUAUCAUCAGGAGGGAAACAUGAAGCCAAACAAGGUGAAUUUUAAGACAACAAAACUAUAGGGUCAUGCCAUGAAGACAGCAAAGCUAACCCAGCAGCUGGCUCAAUAUUAAAGGGGUAAAAGUCAAGGCUGUCCUUUUCUCCAUGGUGGGAAAAUCCGCCGUACAACCAGGGUUAAGUAACUUCUGAAAAUAACGGUGGGGCUGGGCAUGGUGUCACACACCUGUAAUCCCAGCACUGGGCAGGCUGAGGCAGGAGGUUUAUUGUGAGUUCGAGACCAACCUAGACUACAAAGUGAGAUCAAAGCCUGUCUGAACUGCAUAGUGAGACCCUGUCUCAAAAAGAAAAAUAAAUAAAUAAAUAUAUAAAUAAAUAAAGUAACAAUGGAAAAACAUUUAAAAUAUUUCAUUUGCAUAAUUAGUUGAAAAGAUCAAACUGACUCAUGCAUUCUUCCUCCAUUUUAAACAACACCUAACAUCUUUAAGUUGGAAAAAUAGGUAAAUAGAGAAAUACUUAAGUAAAUACUUAAGUAAAUAGGGAAACACCUAAGAGAAAACUUUAGUGAAGAUACUAAGUAUUUUUUUUUUUUUGGUUUUUCUCCGGUACCGGGAACUGAACUCACGACCUUGCGCUUGCCAGGCAGGCGCUUUUUGCCACUGAGCUAAAUCCCCAGCCCCGAUGCUAAGUAUUAAUGUAACACACCUCUGAAGGGAAACACCUCAAAUUUAUCAUUUUUAUUUGUGCCCAACUUGUAUCUGUCUUUUCUACUUAAGCAUAUCUACAUUUUUAUUAUAGAAUGAAAUAUAAAACUCUAGGUUUUGAACAUCAUGCUAAGUGUAUUCUGUACUUGUGCUACCGGUUUAUUUUCCCGUCUUUCCCUCCCCACUUUCCCACACAUCCAGGUAGUAGAUACUACCUGGUUCACGUCCUCCAACCUUUUACUAAACUUAGUCAAACAUACAUAAAAAACAGAGCACAUCAUCUUUAAGGGCAAAGAUACAGAAACCAAAAUACCAAGGUCUGUACACUGGCACUGCCUCUCCCUAGCUUCAUGACCUUAGGAAAAAGGUACUUUUCUGAUUUAGGGAAGAACUCUUUGAGAAAGUGAUAUAUAGGCUUAACUUAGUUAAGAAUGCCCACAGCAUCCUAAUAGAGAUAAGAAGAUAUGGAAAUGGCUGUAUGAACUUUAAAAAAAUGUAAAGAGAGCAGGAUAGCUAUGAAUGAAAAGGAAGAAGUAAAAAGUAAUAGUUAAUAAAAUCAUCUUGUGACACAGUUACUUAGACCAAAAUUUUUUCAAACAUUUUAGAAAGCAUUUUGGUAAUAUUAAAUAAGAAUUUCAAAACAUAGCUAGGGACGGUGGUGCACAGCUGUAAUCCCAGCUACUCAGGAGGCUGAGACAAGGAUGGUGAUUUUAAAGCCAGCCUUGGCAACAUAGUGAGAGUCUUUUUCAAAAUAAAAGAAAAAGAAGGCUAAGCUGCAGCUCAGAGCUAGAGUGCCUCUGAGUUCAAUCCCUGAUACGGACAAUAAUAAUUUAAAAAUACAUUUCUUCCUUUAACCCAAUGACUCCAUUUUUUUUUUUUUUUUUUUUUUUUUUUUGAGACAGGGUCUUGCUAUGCAGUUCAGGCUGGCCUUGAGCUCACUUUGUAGCCCAGGCUGGUCUCGAACUUGCAACGAUCCUCCUGCCUCAGCCUCCCAAGUGCUGGGAUUACAGGUGUGUUCCACCAUGCCCGGCUCAUUUCUAAGUAUCUUAUUGAAAAUAAUAUAAUUAAAAUAUUAUUAUUUAUUGAAAAUAAUAUAAUCAAUUAAGAAAAAAGAUAUCAAUUAAUGCGUAUUUGUCAUAAAGAAAAAUCAGACAAAAUAAAUUUAUAACAUGAAAAUGAGCACAUAUAUGUCAUGGAAAUAAGGAAAUGUAUACAGCUAAUAAAAGUCUAUAUAUCAUUUAUAAUAAUAUAAGAAAAUAUACUAUAAUUUAUUUCAUAAUAGUAAAAAAGGGAAACAGACACUCAAGAAAUAGGUCCAGAUAAAUGAUGCCCGUACCGUAGGUCUCCAUCAUGACCGAUGCUCUGUCUUGGAUCUGUAAUGUCUUGCGUGUGCCCCCACAUUGGUGGUGCCGCCCCUCGUGUGGCCACGUUGGCAGAUCAGAGAUGGGGCCUACUGUAGCGCAGAGGAGUACUCCACUGUGUAAAAAUAAUUUUCUUUAUCUUUUCAUCUGUUGGUGGACAUAUAGGCCUUUAUAAGAAUUUAGCAAUUAGACAUCGUGCUCAUGUAAAUAUAGACGUGCAUGUAUCUCUGUAAUACGACUUCUUUAACUUAGAGUGAUGGAACUGAUUGCUCAUGCACUAAAGCCUCUAAAAUCCUGAACCAAAAUAAGCCUUUUCUCUUCAUAAAUUAAUGUUCUCACGUAUUUGUUACCAUGACAGAACUAAACACUACUGAGGAACUCUCAGAUGAGGAUAUCAUAAUCUUAUAUAGGAAGUUUUGGCAAAUAUUUCUUUCCAGCUUUCUAGGGGCUCUUUGCUAUAGGUACCUGUUCUACAGAAAUUCUAUGGAGAAUUGUCUGCCUAAAGUACUAUUCAUUUUUUACCUUAAGAUUACUUUUACCAUUUUUACUGCUGACACAAUACUUGUAACUAUGUAAAAGUAGAACAUUGAUUACAUAGCAGCUCAUACAACCCCUACCCACUGCCCUUAAGAGUUAGCUCAUCUAGUAGUAGUUUCUGCUACUGAUUAGUUGUAGCAAUUUCUCCAGGCCCCAGUUUCUAUUAAAUGACUGCUCAAUCGUACACUGUCUAAAAUCUAAUCUAUUUGGCAUUAUAUGAUUUAGGUAUUACAUUAAUAGGAGGAACAACAAUAAUAAAGCCUACAAUUGAGUGAAUAAAACUUCAAAUUAGUGUAUUUUAUUGGGAGCAACAUAUAGUCAUAAUAUUAAUAAUAAAUAGUCAAAUUAAUCAAAUCAAGUGACCCAGUACACUACUUGUGGGCAGAAAGACUUUCAGAAUUGUAUUUUAAGAUGAAAUUCAAAUAGUUUCCUUUUAUGCAUACAUUAGUUCCACAAAAUACUUUUGGAACAAAACCAAAGAUGUCAUUUUGAGAAAAAAUGUUAAUAAAAUAUAGAAAAUACAAGUGUCCUAGAAAAUUAAAUAUAUGACAGCAGACAAAGAAACUAGGAAGUCUAAAAUUAUAUGGCUUGUCAUUUCCUCUGUUCUCCAAAAAUAUGUAAUUUAUUAUUUUCUCCAAUAUAAUGUUCUCAAUUGAACGAUGCUAUGUAGAGAAUAUGGUUCCAUAACUAUAUUGAGAAACAAACAGAAGUAUUGGAAAACCUAAUUUUAAUUGCUUAACAAAGGUAUGACCUUGGGAGA
rnacentral:lncRNA from 1 species